AUCCUGUAGUCGAAAAUGUUGUCUCUCUUGAGUGGAUCCUGAGUACGACGGAGCACGUGAAAUUCCGUCGGAAUCUGGGAGGACCAUCUCCUAAGGCUAAAUACUCUCUAGUGACCGAUAGUGAACCAGUACCGUGAGGGAAAGGUGAAAAGCACCCCGGAAGGGGAGUGAAAUAGAACCUGAAAUCGUGUGCUUACAAGUAGUCAGAGCCCGUUAAUGGGUGAUGGCGUGCCUUUUGUAGAAUGAACCGGCGAGUUACGAUUUGAUGCAAGGUUAAGCAGUAAAUGUGGAGCCGUAGCGAAAGCGAGUCUGAAUAGGGCGUUUAGUAUUUGGUCGUAGACCCGAAACCAGGUGAUCUACCCUUGGUCAGGUUGAAGUUCAGGUAACACUGAAUGGAGGACCGAACCGACUUACGUUGAAAAGUGAGCGGAUGAACUGAGGGUAGCGGAGAAAUUCCAAUCGAACCUGGAGAUAGCUGGUUCUCUCCGAAAUAGCUUUAGGGCUAGCCUCAAGUGAUGAUUAUUGGAGGUAGAGCACUGUUUGGACGAGGGGCCCCUCUCGGGUUACCGAAUUCAGACAAACUCCGAAUGCCAAUUAAUUUAACUUGGGAGUCAGAACAUGGGUGAUAAGGUCCGUGUUCGAAAGGGAAACAGCCCAGACCACCAGCUAAGGUCCCAAAAUAUAUGUUAAGUGGAAAAGGAUGUGGCGUUGCCCAGACAACUAGGAUGUUGGCUUAGAAGCAGCCAUCAUUUAAAGAGUGCGUAAUAGCUCACUAGUCGAGUGACACUGCGCCGAAAAUGUACCGGGGCUAAACAUAUUACCGAAGCUGUGGAUUGUCCUUUGGACAAUGGUAGGAGAGCGUUCUAAGG
rnacentral:rRNA from 1 species